rnacentral:miRNA from 1 species
UCACUGGGAGAGACGGGAAGUUG